ensembl:lncRNA
UGACAAUUUAAAAAUCAUUGAUUCAAAACCAUAGUUGAAAAUGGUAUAUCUUAUGUUUAAAACCAACUUCAGUGCUAUAAAAAUGUAAAAGCUUUUUUUUCUAUUACAAAUUUUGGAAAUCAUUUUCUUCAAUCAUUUCUCUUGGAUCUUCACAUUUAUAUAAACAGCCAGUUUGUAAAGGGUUGAAUUGGACUCUUUAAACUGCACCAGGAUCUGAUCUGAAAUAACCUUCUGAGAGGAUCCACGAUGCUUUGGGUGAUUGAGGGAAAAUAGACCUCCAAAUAAAGGCUGGGGCUCGGUGCUGCCAGAGGCACAAAGAUCCUGUCAGAAUUUCCUUUGCACUUCACCAACCCUCAAUGUGUCGAGAUAAGAUAUACAGUGCAUUAUAAUAUGCACAAACUGAGGGGAAGGCCAAAGCAUUCACUGCCCGACUGAGAGUAGAUCUGGAAUAAAUAAACAUGAGGUCAUGUUUAUGGAAACACACGCCACUUAAAAUCGGAGCUCUCGCUGCGAGUGUGUUUGAUUAAUAGUAAAAUGAACUGAUUAGCCACAUCGAAUCAAAUAGGCGGAGGAGUUUGUGACCUAAGGGCUCGUAUUAAAGAGAAAUUAUGGUUUAAUUAUACACAAACACACACAUUAUAUGGCCAGCCCGAGCGGAUCAUAAGAGCAGAGAGUCAUAAGGUGUUAAUUUGUGUGUGUGUGUUUGGGUGUGUGUUGUGUGCGCGGGCCCCUGCAGAGGUGUAAAUGUGAGUGCGUCAGUGGGAUGCUGGCUCCUGUCAGCUCUCACCGCUCUCUGGUUGAUGUCUGCUCCGGAGCACGCCAUCAUGUCCACCAUCUCCACGCGGCUCUGCUUGGCCGCCCAGUGGAGCACCGUCUGCAACACACGCAUGCAAACACAGCAGCUGUCAAUCACCACGCCGCUGUCAAUCACACAUGGGCUGUGUCCAGGCUACACCGGCCCACCUGGGCUCAAUAAGAGGAGCGCUGAGCUACCAGAUUCCCGGAAUGAAACAGAGAAAGAAGAAUAAAGAAGAAAACAACAUCAGUAAUAGGAUAAACACAACUCUUUUGGGUCUUGUAGCUCUCCAUAGUCGUCUUUGUGCUUCAUCACAUCGGCGUGUUUGGCCAAAAGCUCAGAGUGAUUUUCCAGUCCCUGUCCACAUUCACUCAGAGCGGGACAUCAAAGCCGGAGCAGCCGUGCUUUUGUCAAACUCUCCUCCCCAAUUUUCUGUCACCAAGUUUUAUCUCUUCCAAAUCAGCACUAGCCUUUAACCUAUUCUGAGCCGAUUAGCUGAAUGCUUGAUUUGAGCAUUAGAGAAACUAUAGCAACCUGUAAUCUGCCAAAGAGCGAAUCAAAAAGCCCAAUGUAUCUUGUCACCCAAGAGCUGGCAGCCCACCUUGACCCCAUAAGCCGUCUCUUACAGAGCCCUCGCUGGGCGGACAGGCCCCUGCUUUAUUCACACACAUGCAAUCCGUUGAGAAAUGUCCUCUUCUCUGUUGGUCUCCGG